rnacentral:lncRNA from 1 species
GAGCUUUCUCCUCAAGUAGAUAGAUAGUUUCAUUGUUUGAUUCGAAUUAGUGACACUUUUUCUUAAACUUUGUUAAAGUGCUCUUGAUGAAAGAUCGUGAAACCAACAAAUCAAGAGGAUUUGCCUUUGUCACCUUUGAAAGUCCAGCAGAUGCUAAGGAUGCAGCCAGAGACAUGAAUGGAAAGGUGAGAUUGCACAAUGAAUACCAUGUAUCCUAGUGCAUAAUAUAGCAUGUGCAAUCCCAACUCUGGUUCAUGGAAGCUCUUGAAUUAUUUUGGUUUUGAAUAUAUACCUCUCCAAGAUCUUCUCACCAUAGCCAAUUUGUAGUACUCUUUUGAAGUAUAUCAUGAGGUGUUUUUUUUUUUUUUUUUUUUGUGGUGCUAGGCAUGCCAAACAAGUGCUCUACCACUGAGCGACAUGCUCAACUGAAGCAUAUUAUGAAAUUCCAGGGUCAAAUGUUGUAGACAAAGUUAUAGAUUGUACCCUUUCUUCCCCCUUGGAUUGGACUUAUGCAUGCUAGUCAAGUGCUCCACCUUGAGUUACAUCCCCAACCAUGGAUUGUGCUCUUAAGUGUUUCUCAGUUCAGAGUAGCAUGUAAUGUUACAGAUAAGCAUUGUAUUUUAUCUUGGGAUCCCUAAACCAUAGCUUGAUGGCUUGGCCUUUAGCAUUGUUUAUUACUUUUGCUUUUUUUUUUUUUUAGGUGGGGGGUACUGGGGAUUGAACCCAGGGGGUGCUUUACCACUGAGCCAUAUCCCCAGUUCUUUGUAUAUUUUAUUUUGAGACUGGGUCUCACUAAGUUGCUAGGGCCUCCGUAAAUUGCUGAGGCUGGCUUUGAACUCAAUCCUCUUGCCUCAGCCUCCUGAGCUGCUAGGAUUACAGACAUGUGACACGAUUCCUGGUUCCUUUUUAUUUUUUGAUACAAGGUCUCACCAAGUUGCUGAGGCUGGCCUCAGCUUGCUAUCCUGCUUCAGUUUCCUGAGUUAACCUGGAGUUGCUGGGAUUAUAGGCAUGUGCCAUUGUACCUAAUCUGGUUAUUAGUUUUGAAAAUGAGCUGAUAUACCUACCUAGCAUUGCUUUAAAUUUUACCAAGUGCACUGAGUUUACUUUAUGCUUUGUAUUCUCAGUGACUGGGUAGACAUUUUAAGUAAGUGGAAAAGUCAUUCUUAGAAUUACUACUUCUAGGAUUUUACUUAGACUAAUUGAUGAACAAAAUUAACUGUAUUUUGGUGUCAAUAGUAUAUAGUGGACCUGUAAGUUCUUUUAAAAUUAUGAUGCAAUUUAACCGUUUUGAUUUUUGUUUAAAGUCCUUAGAUGGAAAAGCCAUCAAGGUGGAACAAGCUACCAAACCAUCAUUUGAAAGUGGUAGACGUGGCCCACCUCCACCUCCAAGAAGCAGAGGCCCUCCCAGAGGUCUUAGAGGAGGAAGAGGAGGAAGUGGAGGAACUAGGGGACCUCCCUCUCGUGGAGGGCACAUGGGUAAUAAUUUAGGUGGAUCUUUGGCUUGGUGUAUAAGAACUGCAAAUCCACGACAGUGUAUACUUUAAGCCCUCGUUGAAAGGCUCUCGCCUUUGAAAUUAAGAAAGAAUAUAUGCUUACCUCUUGAAGUGAUAAUGACUCGAGGAAAACAUGGAAGGUGUCCUAAGUUAAAUGAAUGUUGAUUUAAAUUAUAGAUCACAUUAUUUCUUACCUUAUUACUUAAUGUGUAAGAAAAGUACUUAAAAAAUCUUUUUCAAGAUUCAGUUUGAUACAUUGAGCAUAUGAAAGCAAAACAAUGUGUGUUCUUUGAAAUAACUUUAGAGACUACCCUUCAUUUUCCUUAUUUUCCCAGUCUACAUGACUUCAUGCUUGAUAUUGUGCAAUUGAAAAUAUAAGUUAGACCCCUCAAAGAGAAAAGAUAAAGAGAAGGUAGUAUCAUCAAAUCAUAGAAUUCUUUGUUUUGUUUUGUUUUUUAAAUUCUUGUGUUAACAUAUUUUUUUCUCCUUUCUAAUGUAGAUGAUGGUGGUUAUUCCAUGCAUUUUAACAUGAGUUCUUCCAGGGGACCUCUUCCAGUAAAAAGAGGACCACCACCAAGAAGUGGGGGUCCUCCUCCUAAAAGAUCAGCUCCUUCAGGACCAGUUCGCAGCAGCAGUGGAAUGGGAGGAAGAGGUAAAUGUUGCAUGCAUGACAAUCUGUGCUGUCACCAUAGCACUAAGAAUUAAGAAGUAACUCUUAAAAAUGACCCUUAAGACUUGUUCAGGAAUUCCAGGUGAUCUAGUAACAUGAAGCUAAUGAGUACUCAAAAGAUGUGAAUAACAUUUCUUGAUCUGUGUACGUAUUAUGUUUAAGUCACUACUUUUCAUUGUCUGAAUAUAAUAAGUUCACAUUUUAUUUAACUUUUACCAGGCUACAUUUAAAAAAAUUAUUAUUUUUCCUUAAGCUCCUGUAUCACGUGGAAGAGAUAGUUAUGGAGGCCCACCUCGAAGGGAACCCCUGCCCUCUCGUAGAGAUGUUUAUUUGUCCCCAAGAGAUGAUGGAUAUUCUACUAAAGACAGGUAACACAAAAAAAUGCAGUUUUUUCAUUAAGGUUAAAGGAGAGCUCAUCAAAAGCAUAGACCAAAUUACUUUUGUUUCUAUAGCUAUUCAAGCAGAGAUUACCCAAGUUCUCGUGACACAAGAGAUUAUGCACCACCUCCAAGAGAUUAUACUUACCGUGAUUAUGGUCAUUCCAGUUCACGUGAUGACUAUCCAUCAAGAGGCUAUAGGUAAGUGAGUGCUUCCAUGGCUCAAGUAUAAUAUUUUAUUGUAAAAGUUGGUGCUCUGGGACUCAAAGGUUUUUCUCUUUAAUUUAGUGAUAGAGAUGGAUAUGGUCGUGAUCGUGAUUAUUCAGAUCAUCCAAGUGGAGGUUCCUACAGAGAUUCAUAUGAGAGUUAUGGUAAGAUACUGUUAAGAGUCUUGAGUUUCAGCAGCUUGAGUUUUUAGGUUCAUGAGCCAGUUUAAUAGGCUGCGUGGUGCUUGCUUUUAAAGGGACGUUUGCUUGCUUUUUUAAAGGGUUAACUAUCAGCUGGGCUUUUCCUAGUUUUGUGAGGGGCUUUUGUUCUUUCCUAAGUUUUUUUUUUUCUUUUGAGGCUGUUCGCUUGCUUUGGAGGGGAUUUUGCUUGCUUAAAUUGGCAGCCUUAUGUGUUUUCCCCCAACAGUGAAAAUACAAUUUAAAAAUUUUAUUAACAAGAUCAAAUGUUUACCAUUGCAAUAUGAAGGAAACUCUACAGUUCAAAAUUGCAACUUAUCACUGGAAAGUGGCUGAGUGUCUACUAUAAAAUAACAAGCUGGAAUAUCCUCUUGAAAUACACACCGUCUUCAGUCUUUUCAAACAAACAUUAAAAUCAAUCCAUUUCCAUAUCUCAGCAGAUGAGCAAAUCCUUGUUAUGGCCAGCAAUGGUAGAGUUUAAAACCUCCCAGUUGAGAAAGUAAACUUUUAAUACAAGAAUUCUGUAAAUUCAGAUUUAAAUGUUGUAUAUAUACAAUUUAUAGUGUUGCCAUAUUACCUGACCAUUGACCCUGCAGGUAACUCACGUAGUGCUCCACCUACACGAGGGCCCCCGCCAUCUUAUGGUGGAAGCAGUCGCUAUGAUGAUUACAGCAGCUCACGUGACGGAUAUGGUGGAAGUCGAGACAGUUACUCAAGCAGCCGAAGUGAUCUCUACUCAAGUGGUCGUGAUCGGGUUGGCAGACAAGAACGAGGGCUUCCCCCUUCUAUGGAAAGGGGGUACCCUCCUCCACGUGAUUCCUACAGCAGUUCAAGCCGCGGAGCACCAAGAGGUGGUGGCCGUGGAGGAAGCCGAUCUGAUAGAGGGGGAGGCAGAAGCAGAUACUAGAAACAAACAAAACUUUGGACCAAAAUUCCCCGUUCAAAGAAACAAACAAAAAGUGGAAACCAUUCUGUCAUAACUACCCAAGGACUACUAAAAGGAAAAAUUGUGUUACCUUUUUUAAAUUUCCUGUUAAGUUCCCCUUCAUAAUUUUUUAUGUUCUUGUGAGGGAAAAAAAGUAAAACAUGUUUAAUUUCAUUUGAUUUUGAGUUGCUUUCAACAAGCAAAUGUUAAGUGUGUAAGACUUGUUGUACUAGUGUUGUAAUUUUCCAAGUUAAAGUGUCCCUGAAGGCCACUUCCUAUCCAGUUUUACCCAGUAAAUGAGGCAAGCAAUUCUAAGAUCUUCCACAAACAUCUAGCCAUCUAGAUGUCCAUUGAUCUCCACUGAGAGAUGAAUCGUUCUGCCUAUACAAAAAAGCUAGCUAAUAGGGGGUGGUUGGGGUAUGCUACUCUUAGGAUUUCAGGGUGUCUUCCAACUGAAAUCUCAAUGUUCUCAGUAUACAAAACCUGAGAUCAGAUAUCUAUGUAAGGAAAGUACUAUUCACCCAGUAAAUCCCCCUUCCCCCCAAAAAAAACCAAAUGGAUAAUGCUGGCCAUAUUUUGCCUUUCUGACAUUUCCUUGGGAAUCCGCAAGAACCUCCCUUUCCCCCUCCCCCAAUAAGACCAUUUAAGUGUGUGUUAAACAACUACAGAAUACUAAAUAAAAAGUUUGGCCAAAACCAACCAUGAAGCUGCAAACGAUGCUUGCUCUUACUGUUUCAAAUUUUUGCAACUCUGUAGUGUCUCACUUUUAAAGGAACAGCUUGAUUGCAAAGGAGAAAAUAGAUAAGCAAUGAAGUUAUCUCCAACUUCCUAAAGGCUUAUGACUUCUAAAAAGUGAAUCUAUCAGCAUUCCACAUCAGAUUUAAAGCACCAAAUGCCUGUGAAACAGCAAAGAUGGUAAGCAAAGCAAACUAGUUUUUCCGUCUAAGUCGAAAUUGAACACUUACCUUCCUCAUAGUACAGUGAAACAUACUGUACCUCAUGGCAAUGGAAAUGUGCCUUCUAGAUUAAAAAAAAAAACCUUUUGGAAAAGCAAAUGUUCAAUAGCAUAUUAGAAGUCCUCCAAAUUCAACACUUGGAUUUUUUUUUUUAAAGCAUGUGUGACACUUAAAGGCCUUAAUACAGCUGUUUACCAGUACCAAUCUGGGGCUUGGGAGGGGGUAUUUUUUAAAGUAUUUUUGAUGAAGACCUUUAAACAUGCUUCAUAUGUUUUUAACAUUUUUUUUUUUCAAAUUAGUCUUAGUCAAUAUAAGAAAUGGCUUAGGUUUGGGGUCCCCUCUCUUACCCCUGUAAGCCAUUGCAAACUUGACCUUUAGUUGGAUGCCUGACUUGUUUUUAGUUCUAUGAAACUACACUGUAUGGAGAAAAUCUAUUGCAAGUGGUCUUUAAAAAGCAAAACCUGAGGCAGCAUGACCCAGGUCCAGCCAUGAAGUUGAAAAAGAUGCUCUUGAAUAUAGUAAACUUGAAGACCUCCAACUAAAAAUCCUUAUACGCACUUAUUCCUUCAAAUAAAUGUUUUGUCCGUUCAACUUAUGGAUUUAACGUGGCAGUGCACCAUUGGAACAGAAUGAGAAUCCAUAAGCCAUGCAACUUAACCAUUUAAGCCAUUCCAGUCCAUCCCAAGCCAGUGAAUCUUCCACUACUUAAGAGAACUAGUAGAACAUGAAAUACAUUAAUCUGGAAGUCUGAACUUGCCUUUCUGGAAAGAGGGCAGUUAUAGGCAAGUUUUAAAGUUUCCUUAAGAGAGAUAACUAGUUUUCAUCUGUUUAAUUUUUGCAGGUUGAGGACUUAUGGUCAUUGUGGUCAUGGAGUGCUGAUUUAUUCACAAUAGAUAAAGCUGGCAGCAGGAGAAAUCAAAUGCUAAGGUAAGUUUUGAAAGCACUGGCCUUUCAAGGUUUAAAUAGUAUUUGUAGUUUUGCCACUGUCAAGCUGUGGUGUUGGCAAGUUUUUUUUUUUUUUUUUUUUCCUGAUCCACACUUCAUCUGCAAAAGGGGAUAUAAUAUACAACUCUUGGAAAUUAGGUUAGAUUAUUUAACGUGUGUUAUCUGGCACAUCCAUUUUUUUUAAAGAGAAUUUUAAUAUUUAUUUUUUAGUUUUUGGCGGACACAACAUCUUUGUUUGUAUGUGGUGCUGAGGAUCGAACCUGGGCCGCACGCAUGCCAGGCAAGCGCGCUACCGCUUGAGCCACAUCCCCAGCCCUGGCACAUCAAUUUUGAAUGUAGAGGGAGGUUAUAUAGGUAUAUUUCCAGUAAUAAUACUAUUAGUCAUGCAAUAUUCUUGGCUGUUUAAAACCAAUUGCAAAUAUCUUUUCAUAUUGCAAGAGUUCUCUUGACAGGAUCUGUGUAUACAGGUAAUACUUUGGUAUGUGAGCAGACUUUACAUGAAGUUUGGGCUUCAGUGAAUUUUCUCAGUGCUUGCUUAUUUGUAUAGCUAUAAUACAAAUUGACUAAAUGGAGAGUUAUUGAUAUCAAUUAUAAGAAAAAGUAUGUAUUUAGGAAUGAUGGGGGGUGUUGGGGUACUAUGCAGUAUAAAACAAAUGCUUUACCUUGUAACUUGAUCCCAUGCUUUUUUACAGAGUUGUUGAAGCAGAAGAAUGCUGAUUGUCGAUCAGUCACAGCAGUCGCAUAAGCAGUGCUCGUCAGAAUUGGUUUGGUGCAGGCAAUAGAUUUUUGUCUUCAAGGGUUCUUGUGGAUCUGAGGAAGGCAUUAGUGUUGGUUAACACUCUUAACUAGGGAGUGGUAGUUACUUAAAAUUGACCAAAUGGAGA